GACGAACGCUGGCGGCGUGCUUAACACAUGCAAGUCGAACGGAAAGGCCCUGCUUUUGUGGGGUGCUCGCGUGGCGAACGGGUGAGUAACCCGUGAGUAACCUGCCCUUGACUUUGGGAUAUCCUCAGGAGACUGCGGCUACUACCGGAUAGGAGCUCCUGCUGCAUGGUGGGGGUUGGAACGUUUCGGCGGUUGUGGAUGGACUUGCGGCUUAUCAGCUUGUUGGUGGGGUAGUGGCUUACCCAGGCUUUGACGGGUAGGCGGCCUGAGAGGGUGACCGGCCACAUGGGGACUAAGAGACGGACCAGAGGCCAACGGUAGGCAGCAGGGGGGAAUAUUGCACAAUGGGCGGAAGCGUGAUGCGGCGACGCCGCGUGCGGGAUGACGGCCUUGUGGGGGUAAACCGCUGUCGCCUAUGACGAAGCUGGAGUGACGGUAAUGGGUAAAGAAGCACCGGCUAACUACGUG
rnacentral:rRNA from 1 species